rnacentral:lncRNA from 1 species
AGAGAGGACAGGAAGGGAAGGACCACGCCGACGCUGAGCAGCGCCCCGGGAGGUCAGCUCCGCGCGGGGCUGGGCGGACUUGGGGGCGCGGGCGGGUGUCGGCAUCUCCUGCCUCCCCGCCGGGCUGCAGGCGGAGCCUGGGUGCGCGAGGCGUCGGCAGGCGCUGCAGAGCCAACCCCGGCCAGGGCCUUCCCGCAGCUCCUUGGGCUGCCUCGGCUGCAGCCGCCGGGAACAGCAGGGCAUCCGCGCGGCUGGGCCACCCCGGCCAUCCCGGCCACCCCAGGCUUCCCGCGUGUCCAGGCCGCGCCUCCCCACCGCCCGCGGACCUGGCGACGUCACUGCGGCUCUGACGCGCGCUAAUGGAGGCACGGGUGGAGGCGGCGUGGCGCGGGCAUCCUCCCGGGAGGUCCCGGUCCUUGCAGCCCGCGGCCGCGUUCUUGGCCCUACUCCAGGGGAACCUCGAUUUUCCAAACUCGGGAAGGCCGGCUGUCCUUCGGCUACUGAUAAGGACGCAAGCGCCGGGUAAAAGAUUUUAACAAUGCCCGGAAAGAAAUAGUCGGACCCAAGAAAGAGACUAAUAAUAGCCGCCAGCUAGAGUUCUGCUCCUGUGCUCAGCGGUCUUAAGAACAAUAAUAACGACAACAACCACAAUAGCCACCAUUUAUUGAGCGCUUACUCUGUGCCAGGCACUGUGUUAAGCGCUUUGCAGGCAACAACCCUCGGAGGUUUUCCCUGUCCCUGCACUGCUCGUUUGGUCACCUUUUGAGAGAAAAGAACACUGAUCCCAUUAAAAGGCCCUGUUGUUUGCCAGAUGAGGUCACCAGACUGGUAAGUAGCAAGGCUGGGACUCCACUAGGAAUAUCUGACUUUAAAAGCCAUGUUCCUGUCACCCAGAAUGCACAUGCUGAUGCAGCUGAACAGAAGAGGUAAGAGACAAACCAUGCCAAACACAAACCAAGAUUUGCCCUAAGAGUGCUCAGAAAUACCACAUGUGAAUCAGGGGCUUCAAUAACUUUCUGAGCCUCAAUCUGGGACUCUGUCUAAAACAGAAAAACAAACCUCAAAGUGCAAUGAGAGAAGAAUAGGAAUGAGGCAUUUAGCUUUCCCUUGGAAGAGCAGCUGGAGAGGCCCACUCACUUUCUAUGUCUGGGCUCUGAGGAAAUAAAGGUGGUUCUAGGAAAAUCUGAAAAGUAAGAGAGGAAAAAAAAAAUCCCUUCUGUGGUUUUUUUCUUUAACCAAGCCUCAUUUUGCUAUUUGUGUUUUAUUUUAAAACUAAUGUGGCUCUCCCCACCCUUUAAAUUGGCACGUAAAUAGCAAAAACAGAAGGAAGGCCAGCUACAAACUUCAAAUGUGGUGGGUUUCUCAGGAAGGAGGUACAUGACUUGAAGUGGAAAUGAGGAUUAAAUGAGGUGCCUUAAACAUUUCAAAGACAGACUUUCCACAAGGACUGUGGAUCAUAAGCCUUUAGAACAGGAGCUUUGUCUGGGUUUGGGCUUGGUAGAGUGUCCAGAAUUUGUGAGUGCCCCAAAAUGUGGAAAACGAAUCACACUUCUAGUGUCUGUCUGCAUCAUCUAAUCAUCUCGGCCACCGCUCUGCUUACAGCUUUAAAGGUUGGCUUCUGGAGGAUUUUCCUGUUCUCAGAUGUCAGACACACAUCCUCCCUCAGACCCCUUACUUUUCCAGAAGUUUGCUCUGGGAAUUCAGUCAAGGUGAGGCAAUGGUUGAUGAUAUCACUAGGCUUGUUUGAAGAGAUUGACAGGCCAGCUCUGGAAUCACCAACUGGAGGUUUUUCCAAACUGGGAAACCAAGGCAGAAGGGACUUCAUGAGACUUGUCACUAACAGUUCUGAUUCUCUCGCCCUAUGUCUUUGAACUAGAAGGAUUCCCCUCUUACCCAACACAAGAGAGACCUGAAUAUCCCAGGCUGCCUCUUGCAAAAUUCUUGGACCUCUUCGACCUUCCUCGCUGCUGCUUCCCUCAUUCUUUCAGUGCGUUCAUUCUACAAACAUGCCUCAAGGGCGCAUGAUGUGUAGAUCCUAGUGGCAGAGCAGAGAACCUAACAUGAGCUCAGAAGCUUACUUUCUCCCAUUCCCUCCUGGUUUCUAACCUCAUGGCUUCAACUUCCACACCUGGAGAGGUCCUAUGAUGGUAAAUGACUUGCUUCUCCAGGUAAGGACUGCUGCUCAGACAUACCUGACAUUCCACCAGCUCCUUCGGCAGCUCUCUGAGAUCAUACCCUGGGACCCUGACACCACAGCGAUGACACCGAUUUGGUAGAAGGUUUGGGUCCUGAGAUACCUUCAGAAGCAGGGCUCAGAAAUGCUCCAGCUCCAGCAUUUGCCCUUGCUCCUCCCCAUCCCUUUCCAGUUGUCACUCCUUCAGUUUAUAAGAUCGCUGUUGUCCAAAAUAGCACAGGCUAUAUUUAUGAAGCAUCUAUUAUGAUGAAAAAUCCCGUAGUGCCAUAAUACCCUACUGUCCAAAGGAAAAUGUUGGCUUAAACAAACAACAGUGACUAUCUGGCAAAGUGAUGUGUGGGAUAAUGCUUAUGAGUCUUUUGGGUCAUUUUUUUUUUUUUAUUGAAUCUUGGGACUGAGUGAUUCAUAAUAACGAGAGGAAGGAAGAACACUAGGCCUGUUUUAGCUUUCAAGAUUAUUCAAAUGGAAUAGAUUUUCACCAUCAACACCCUAGCAAAGACAGAAUGCUUAAGGUAAAUUGCCAGUUUUUGUCUUUUUGGAAAAUCCAUUAAUACUGAAUGAUCUUGGUUUUAAUCCAUUC